rnacentral:rRNA from 1 species
UACAGAGGGUGCGAGCGUUGUCCGGAAUCACUGGGCGUAAAGGGCGCGUAGGUGGCGCCCCAAGUCUGUGGUGAAAGCUCGAUGCUCAACAUCGAGUCGGCCACGGAAACUGGGGGGCUGGAGCACUGUAGAGGCUAAUGGAAUUCCGGGUGUAGCGGUGGAAUGCGUAGAUAUUGGGAGGAACACCAGUGGCGAAGGCGGCUCACUGGACCGGUACUGACGCUGAGGCGCGAAAGCGUGGGGAGCAAACGGG